rnacentral:rRNA from 1 species
UACAGAGGUCUCAAGCGUUGUUCGGAUUCAUUGGGCGUAAAGGGUGCGUAGGCGGGUUUUUAAGUCAGGGGUGAAAUCCUGGAGCUCAACUCCAGAACUGCCUUUGAUACUGAAGAUCUUGAGUCCGGGAGAGGUGAGUGGAACUGCGAGUGUAGAGGUGAAAUUCGUAGAUAUUCGCAAGAACACCAGUGGCGAAGGCGGCUCACUGGCCCGAUACUGACGCUGAGGUGCGAAAGCGUGGGGAGCAAACAGG